GAAGACGUGGUGGUUAAGACAACAGGUCCAGAUUUCCGGUCCUCCAGGAGUCUUUCCAGAGAAACAGCACACACUGGAAGUGACACCUGGGGGUCUCCCCGGUCACGGCAGGUCCCGAACCAGCCCACGUCAGUCGUGCGAGUGCGCAACCUGGGGCAGGGCCCCUGCCGCCCGCUCUGCACCUGGGCGUCCCUGGCUGGGCGCAUCACCCCUCACAGACCUGUCUUCAGAUUUAAUCGAGAUCGAAGAAACAGACUCUGGGAGAAACCAGGAAGGGAUGAAGCAAUCAGAAAGAAAGAAGAAGCCAGGCCAGCAGCAAUUUUGGCGAUAACCAGCCUCAGCCUGACCCCGCCGGGGCUCCAGAGGGACACACAGAGACCUGUGGCAUGGCUCUCAGAUUCUGAGGAGCCAGGAGUGGAGUUGUUAUCUCAAGACUUCUCAGAGUCUGUCGAGUCUCCUGCAGCCCAUCAUUGCCGGCCGGCCUGCCUGCCUGCGUCACAGCCGCAGGGCUCUGUCUUUGGAGCAGAAUUCCCCAGGAGAUGUCUGCAGCAAGGCCAUGGGCUGCCCUGGCCAGGGAGAGGGUGGGGGAACAGGAAGCCUCAGCUGUGUGUCUGGUCUGGUACUAAUUAGCUGUGUGACCUUGGGCUAGUCACUUAACCUCUCUGGUC
ensembl:lncRNA